GACGAACGCUGGCGGCGUGCUUAACACAUGCGAGUCGAACGAAGAGCGAUGGAAGCUUGCUUCUAUCAAUCUUAGUGGCGAACGGGUGAGUAACGCGUAAUCAACCUGCCCUUCAGAGGGGGACAACAGUUGGAAACGACUGCUAAUACCGCAUACGAUCUAAUCUCGGCAUCGAGGAUAGAUGAAAGGUGGCCUCUACGUGUAAGCUAUCACUGAAGGAGGGGAUUGCGUCUGAUUAGCUAGUUGGAGGGGUAACGGCCCACCAAGGCGAUGAUCAGUAGCCGGUCUGAGAGGAUGAACGGCCACAUUGGGACUGAGACACGGCCCAGACUCCUACGGGAGGCAGCAGUGGGGAAUCUUCCGCAAUGGACGAAAGUCUGACGGAGCAACGCCGCGUGAGUGAUGACGGCCUUCGGGUUGUAAAGCUCUGUUAAUCGGGACGAAAGGCCUUCUUGCGAAUAGUGAGAAGGAUUGACGGUACCGGAAUAGAAAGCCACGGCUAACUACGUG
rnacentral:rRNA from 1 species